GAAACCAAAAAAUAGCCUUUUCGCACAAUUAAUUUAGUACAUUAGGUUUAUAAUUGAAAAACCAGCUGAUUGCUAUUUUAUCAAUGCACUCAGAAUUAAGCACAGAGAGGCAGAGUUAAACACAGCCAAAUUGACAGUACAAUUUCAUUUCGAUUAAGAAUUAAUGUAGUAAAAUAAUUUUUCUAUUCUGUAUUGUAAAUCGAUCUAAAUCAGCGUUUUAAUAGACCAAAGACCGGUUAAUUAAUCAAAUAUCUCCUGUGGGGAAAGACUAUAAGCCAUAGGAAAUCAGAAUGAAUUGGAAAUAGCAGCAGCAGCAAUAUCAUCAGAAGCAGCAAAUUUCAAUUGUUAAGUACUUGUCUUUUACAAUCUUUUUCCACGCCUUUUGUUCGGAGCAGCUCCUUUAACUAUGGAACUAGCAAUCACAGUACAACAGCUAAUCUGGAGGGUGAGAAAAUCCAAGUCAGGGUGAUGGUACUAGGAAAUCUAGAAGAUCUUGAUGUACUGACGCCCGGGAAUUUUCUUAUUGGUGGUCCUCUUAUCGCUAUUCCUGAGCCGAACCUCACGCACCUAAACUGCAAUCGUUAAGAUCGCUGGCAGCAGGUUACCUACAUAUAGUACAACAGAUAUUUUGGAAGCGGUGGAGUGAAGAAUAUCUUAGUAUUCUACAACAACGAGUGGCGUCAACCCCACCCAAACAUUGAAGUCAAUGACAUCGUAUGCAACAAAGACGAAAAUUCAGCAACUCUUAAAUGGCCCUUGGCUCGAGUUACAGAACUUGUCACUGGGACAGACAGGGUUGCAAGAGUAGCCGUUCUUCGUACGUCUACCGGCAUGAUGCGUCGAGCUAUCAUCAAAUUGUGCGUUUUACCUGUCAAAGAUUCUUUUGAAAGUUAGACCUUUCAACGGGUGGAGGAUGUUCGGAGCUGCUCCUUUAACUAUGGAACUACCAAUAAUGAGUAGCAUUAAUCUUAAGUUUUUAUUUAUACUUAAGUUAACUAAACUAAUACGCACACAUAUAUUCCACCAACUGUGGUAAGAAAACAUUGUAAAUAAUUAAUAUUUAAUAUUAAUUGUUUUGUGGUCACUCUAAUUUUGCAUAUCCACCACAGCAUUACUUGUUAUUCUAAUUCCUCAUUUCUCUUUAUCCUUUAAUAUGCUUAUGCAUACAUACAUGUGAGAACAAUUAAGCUUAGCUUUGCCUAAGCUUAGCAUCUUAGUUAUUAGUUCGCUUUUUAUAUUCGAUACCUGCAGACGCAUUAUUUUCUAGUUCGUUUCUUAUAUUCGCAGACGCAAGGGCAUUUCACCUGGUAAACCACCAGCCACGUAACUUUCUAUUCGUUGUGUUAUAUAUAUUUAUAUUAAUAAAUAUUUUGUUAAUAUAUAUAGUCGUGGUUUUAUAUCGCGAUUCGAAACUAUCAAAAAAGCUUGACACACCUUUAUUUUCAGGUAUUUGUCUUUUAUAAUCUUUUUUCACUCUUUAUUUUCAGCUAUUAAUAAUUCUUUUCCUUAAUUUAUCUUUUUUCAGAUGAAAUUAUUUUUUUAAAUUGAAUA